GAUGAGCGCUGGCGGCGUGCCUAAUACAUGCAAGUCGAGCGAACGGACGAGAAGCUUGCUUCUCUGAUGUUAGCGGCGGACGGGUGAGUAACACGUGGAUAACCUACCUAUAAGACUGGGAUAACUUCGGGAAACCGGAGCUAAUACCGGAUGAUAUUUUGAACCGCAUGGUUCAAAAGUGAAAGACGGUCUUGCUGUCACUUAUAGAUGGAUCCGCGCUGCAUUAGCUAGUUGGUAAGGUAACGGCUUACCAAGGCAACGAUGCAUAGCCGACCUGAGAGGGUGAUCGGCCACACUGGAACUGAGACGCGGUCCAGACUCCUACGGGAGGCAGCAGUAGGGAAUCUUCCGCAAUGGGCGAAAGCCUGACGGAGCAACGCCGCGUGAGUGAUGAAGGUCUUCGGAUCGUAAAACUCUGUUAUUAGGGAAGAACAUAUGUGUAAGUAACUGUGCACAUCUUGACGGUACCUAAUCAGAAAGCCACGGCUAACUACGUG
rnacentral:rRNA from 1 species